UAUUGGGCAAUGGCCGCGAGGCUGACCCAGCCAUGCCGCGUGCAGGAAGAAGGCCUUCUGGGUUGUAAACUGCUUUUGUCGGGGAAGAAAACGCCCCUGCGGGGGUAACUGACGGUACCCGACGAAUAAGCACCGGCUAACUCCGUGCCAGCAGCCGCGGUAAUACGGAGGGUGCAAGCGUUGUCCGGAUUUAUUGGGUUUAAAGGGUGCGUAGGCGGCCCGUUAAGUCAGCGGUGAAAUCCCGGGGCUCAACCCCGGAACUGCCGUUGAUACUGGCGGGCUUGAGUUCGGUCGAGGCGGGCGGAACUGGCGGUGUAGCGGUGAAAUGCUUAGAUACCGCCAAGAACCCCGAUUGCGUAGGCAGCUCGCUUGGCCGAAACUGACGCUGAGGCACGAAAGCGUGGGGAGCGAACAGG
rnacentral:rRNA from 1 species